rnacentral:rRNA from 1 species
UGGGGAAUAUUGGACAAUGGGCGGAAGCCUGAUCCAGCAACGCCGCGUGAGGGAUGACGGCCUUCGGGUUGUAAACCUCUUUCACCGAUGACGAAGCGCGAGUGACGGUAGUCGGAGAAGAAGCACCGGUCAACUACGUGCCAGCAGCCGCGGUAAUACGUAGGGUGCGAGCGUUGUCCGGAAUUAUUGGGCGUAAAGGGCUCGUAGGCGGUUUGUCGCGUCGGGAGUGAAAACCCAGGGCUUAACCCUGGGCUGGCUUUCGAUACGGGCAGACUAGAGGUAUGCAGGGGAGAACGGAAUUCCUGGUGUAGCGGUGAAAUGCGCAGAUAUCAGGAGGAACACCGGUGGCGAAGGCGGUUCUCUGGGCAUUACCUGACGCUGAGGAGCGAAAGUGUGGGGAGCGAACAGGAUUAGAUACCCUGGUAGUCCACACCGUAAACGUUGGGCGCUAGGUGUGGGGUCCAUUCCACGGAUUCCGUGCCGCAGCUAACGCAUUAAGCGCCCCG